GUUUACAUGGGCCCACCCCCAGCGCGUAGCCCAAUCUGACGGACCAGUGUCCCCGCGCUCAACAAGGAGGUUCGUUGUAGUUUUUUUUGGCAAACUAUAGCCUUAAAGUGGGUUAACUAUUAUUCAUUAACAUCCUAGAUAGUAUACAGAAAGUAGUUUCCUCUAGGUAAAGGAGAUGGCUUGAAAAGGCAUCCUGUAGUAACAUUUAGACACCUUGCUAUACAGGAAAAAGAAGGUAGAAGACGAUCAUCUUGAGAAAGCCCUCUUAGCUAGAGAAUGAGUAAGGGGAUUGUCGGAUCUAGGAAUACGGAGCACUCUGCACGAGCUGAGACAGGAAGUAAUGUUGAAACAAUGUGCAAGCAUCGGCCUGAUCCUCCAGUAUCCUGGCUUAACCAUAGGAUUCCUUACUUCUGCAGCUUCUACUGAAGUCCUGCAAUCAGAAUAUAAUGAAGCAGAUCACCAAAUCAAAGCCUUGAUUGUCGAGGCAGCAAGAAGUAAAGCCAUUGCUUGAGCUUCCAAAACAGAUUGACGUCGCUUGAACGAAUAUGGUGUGCUUGGUGACCGUAUUGUUGAGGCUUCAUUCUCUUCCACUAAAGGGUUAAAAGCAACAUCCACAUAUGCCAGAGGACCUGCAGAUUUAUAUGCACAUUUGUACUUCGAAGAGAAUAAAAAUCGUUAUAUUGAUGACAUGUUACCUUUUCCUCCGUUAAACCUACAUUAAGCAUUGCCUUUGUUGCAUGGAGAAUCUGCAUUGGUCUACAUUUUAUUUUAUUGAAAAAUAGAUCCUUUCUAGCCUUCCAUAUGUUCCAAAGUUGUGAAAAAGUAUCUAGAUUUAACUCUGUUUGAUGGGAAGGCAUGAUCAUUCUAAUGAUACCAACAUGAUAUAAACUCGGAUUCGCAUAUCAGUUUUGAGGCCAAAUUUCGGGCCCGUUCGGGGAUCCACCAGCUCCUCAAAAUACGCGGAGCUGGGGAGUACCGUUUCGGCUGCUCUGGAUUUUCUAGCCGCAGCUCCGUCCGCUCCGGGAGCGGAGGCGCGGAGCGGAGGGCCUCCGAACGGCCCCUUAAUCAAAUACUCUAGAGAAAUUGCAUUGAAAGAGAAGGUGCAAAUCUGAUUAUAUUUGACCACAUCUACAACAUUCUUUUUUGGUAUGCUUAGAAUACCUAGAAGCUCUUAAUCAUGUUGCAACAACUCUCCUAAUAACCCCCAAGCAACAGUUUUGACCCUAGGGGCUAUGGUUUUGUUUUUUCAAACAUGAUUGAGGAUAGCAAUUUCUUGAUCCGAAGUAAGAGCUUGUCUUCCCAAAGAGCUAUAUUGGAUUACUUGCACAAAGGUUUUUCAUGCACUCUUUGUAGUACAAUCUGCAUCAGGAGUGUGAGUCCAACAAAUGGCGUCAUCAAGAUUAGCAUUGUUAAUUGGAAUGUUUGAAACUUCAUUCUUAAAAGAAUCAUCAGACUAAGCACUAUUUUUGUUUUCAUCCCAAAGUUUUGAAUUAGGCUUCAAAAGAUCAGUAAUGAUGCUAGCACAGGGUCCCUCCUAGUUAGGCUUAAGAAGAUCAUGAAUAUUCUCCCAAUCUUUGCACCAAGGACUAGUUGAAAUGCAUGAGUUACUUUUAUCAAUUUGAAGCUGGCUAGCCUUAAGCAUGAAAGGAAGAAAUUUUUAUAACAGAGGAUCAUGAGGAAGACUUAGGAACUUAAGAGCAAGAUUCCAAAUAGAAGAGUUCUGAAAAUAUUUAGCUCUAAGAAUUUUGGUAAGCAAAGAAGUAGGAUUCUUAACUAUUGUCCAGGUCAUCAUAGCCACCAUAGAUUCUUUUUCAUAUGCCCGACCCUCCUUUAUGCUUUGGCUUGCAUGGUGUAAAAUAUAUGGGCUUAGAGCAAUUAUCUUUAUUAAACCCACUCCACCGGAAUUUUCUGACUAUGGAUGUAAGCUUCUUGAUUUACAUGCAAAGAGGCGAACACAGGUUUAAUGAGAGUGAGUCUACCUGCAUGUGAAAGCCUAUUAGCCUUGUAGGGGGGAGGGGGAAAGAGAUUCAUAUCUAGUGGCUAUGGUUGGUCCAAUCGGACAGCUUGGGAGAUGACUAGCUAGGGAUGGUGCCGUUCGACCGACACGUGGUUCUAUAAUGGGCAGUGUAGGGCCAUGUCUUGUAACUGAAUCUUGUAAUCUCUUAGUUCUUGUGCCUCCGAUCAAUAUAAACCAACCGCGAUGCAUAUGGGGUUAGAUACACUUUUAAUAAACUUAUAAUUGGUAGUAUAUUUCGUUGUAUUUAUCUGCUUUUAAGGCUUGCCUUCACCGUUUUGCAUGCCUAGGAAGAUGUGUUCUCUAAGUCCUAUUGGUAUCGCUCUCAUGUUUUUCGGAUGGAAAUCCAAUGCGAGCAUUGAUCCUUGCUCAUCGAUGGACCCCGUGCACGACGGUUCACAUGGCCCCACCCCCAGCGGUAGCCCAAUCUGAUGGACCAGUGUCCCCGUGCUCAACAAGGAGGUUCAUUGUAGUUUUUUUUGGCAAACUAUAGCCUUAAAGUGGGUUAACUAUUAUUCAUUAAUAUCCUAGAGAGUGUACAUAAAGUAGUUUCCUCUAGGUAAAGGAGAUGGCUUGAAAAGCCAUUCUGUAGUUACAUUUAGACACCUUGCUAUAUAGGAAAAAGAAGGUAGAAGAGGAUCAUCCUGAGAAAGCCCUCUUAGCUAGAGAAUGAGUAAGGGGAUUGUGGGAUCUAGG
rnacentral:lncRNA from 1 species